AAAUAACUGAGGAAAAUGAGUCUGUGUAGCCUGAUUACAACUGUGAGAAAGUGUGUACCCUGAGGAAGAUUGGAGGGGCAUGAACACUGAACUCCACUGUGUGGGAGCUUGAGGGGCCUGUGCUGCCCAUGCUGAGUGUCAACCAUCUCACACUGCUUCUAACACCUUCAAGCCAUCUCCUGAAUCUGGAAUAGUCAUCAUGAGCUGGAGGCUUCCUCAGAAGAACCCUAAAAUCAAGGGGGAUUCUGGUGCCAAGAAAAAUAGCCCAACCCAGCUUCACAGCUGUGAGCCUCCAAUGCACCCCAGGAAGCUGCCAUCACCAUGGGUAGCGUGACCUGGCUUGAUUUUGCCAAAACAAAGGAAAAUUCCUCCAGCAAUUUCUGUGAAUUUGUUUUGCAAAACUGAAUUGUCUGCUUUUAAUUCCCCUAUACCAAUUAAAUAAAAAUUGGAAUUUAAAAUCCA